AGAACGAACGCUGGCGGCAGGCUUAACACAUGCAAGUCGAACGGCUGUAGCAAUACAGCAGUGGCAGACGGGUGAGUAACACGUGAGAACCUUCCUAGGGGUACGGAACAACUCAGGGAAACUUGAGCUAAUACCGUAUACGUCCGUGAGGAGAAAGAUUUAUCGCCCUUAGACGGGCCCGCGUCGGAUUAGGUAGUUGGUGGGGUAACGGCCUACCAAGCCUACGAUCCGUAGCUGAUCUGAGAGGAUGACCAGCCACACUGGGACUGAGACACGGCCCAGACUCCUACGGGAGGCAGCAGUGGGGAAUCUUGGACAAUGGGCGCAAGCCUGAUCCAGCCAUGCCGCGUGAGUGAAGAAGGCCUUAGGGUUGUAAAGCUCUUUUGCCAGGGACGAUAAUGACGGUACCUGGAGAAUAAGCCCGGCAAACGUUCGUGCCAGCAGCCGC
rnacentral:rRNA from 1 species